UGGGGAAUAUUGCACAAUGGGCGCAAGCCUGAUGCAGCCAUGCCGCGUGUGUGAAGAAGGCCUUCGGGUUGUAAAGCACUUUCAGCGGGGAGGAAGGCGGUGAGGUUAAUAACCUCAUCGAUUGACGUUACCCGCAGAAGAAGCACCGGCUAACUCCGUGCCAGCAGCCGCGGUAAUACGGAGGGUGCAAGCGUUAAUCGGAAUUACUGGGCGUAAAGCGCACGCAGGCGGUCUGUCAAGUCGGAUGUGAAAUCCCCGGGCUCAACCUGGGAACUGCAUUCGAAACUGGCAGGCUAGGGUCUUGUAGAGGGGGGUAGAAUUCCAGGUGUAGCGGUGAAAUGCGUAGAGAUCUGGAGGAAUACCGGUGGCGAAGGCGGCCCCCUGGACAAAGACUGACGCUCAGGUGCGAAAGCGUGGGGAGCAAACAGG
rnacentral:rRNA from 1 species